rnacentral:rRNA from 1 species
UGGGGAAUAUUGCACAAUGGGCGGAAGCCUGAUGCAGCGAUGCCGCGUGGGGGAUGACGGCCUUCGGGUUGUAAACCUCUUUCAGUGCAGAACAAGGCUCUUUGUGGGUUGAGGGUAUGCGCAGAAGAAGCGCCGGCUAACUACGUGCCAGCAGCCGCGGUAAUACGUAGGGCGCGAGCGUUGUCCGGAUUUAUUGGGCGUAAAGAGCUCGUAGGCGGUUUGUCGCGUCUGCUGUGAAAUCCUCUGGCUUAACUGGGGGCGUGCAGUGGGUACGGGCAGACUGGAGUGCGGUAGGGGAGACUGGAAUUCCUGGUGUAGCGGUGGAAUGCGCAGAUAUCAGGAGAAACACCGGUGGCGAAGGCGGGUCUCUGGGCCGUUACUGACGCUGAGGAGCGAAAGUAUGGGGAGCGAACAG